CUAUAUGGUUUGCUAUUCGAAUAAGAAUAGAGGAAAUAUGGGUUACAAAAUUCCAAAACCCUAGAAAUGAAUUAAUAUGUACUUGAAGGAAUAUUAAGAAUAAGGUAUUACGAUACCUUUAAAUUCGAUGUGAACGGAAUAGUCUAAAAAAAAAUGUUAUAUAAGUACAUAUGGAAAUUUUAUUAUUGGAGAUAAGAUUUCACAUGAAGAGAUGCUAUGAGGUUAAACGAAGAUGAGUAUAUGUAUAGAAAUAUAUAUACUUAGUAAGGUGCUAUAUAUAUUUUAGCAAGAGGAAUGAUGAAUUAAGUUAAUGAUAUAAUGAU
rnacentral:lncRNA from 1 species